rnacentral:rRNA from 1 species
GACGAACGCUGGCGGCGUGCUUAACACAUGCAAGUCGAACGGAAAGGCCCUGCUUUUGUGGGGUGCUCGAGUGGCGAACGGGUGAGUAACACGUGAGUAACCUGCCCUUGACUUUGGGAUAACUUCAGGAAACUGGGGCUAAUACCGGAUAGGAGCUCCUGCUGCAUGAUGGGGGUUGGAAAGUUUCGGCGGUUUGGGAUGGACUCGCGGCUUAUCAGCUUGUUGGUGGGGUAGUGGCUUACCAAGGCUUUGACGGGUAGCCGGCCUGAGAGGGUGACCGGCCACAUUGGGACUGAGAUACGGCCCAGACUCCUACGGGAGGCAGCAGUGGGGAAUAUUGCACAAUGGGCGGAAGCCUGAUGCAGCAACGCCGCGUGCGGGAUGACGGCCUUCGGGUUGUAAACCGCUUUCGCCUGUGACGAAGCGUGAGUGACGGUAAUGGGUAAAGAAGCACCGGCUAACUACGUG